CAAAGUUAACGUGGUCAGCCUG
rnacentral:piRNA from 1 species